GAUGAACGCUGGCGGCGUGCCUAAUACAUGCAAGUCGAGCGAACGGACGAGAAGCUUGCUUCUCUGAUGUUAGCGGCGGAAGGGUGAGUAACACGUGGAUAACCUACCUAUAAGACUGGGAGAACUUCGGGAAACCGUAGCUAAUACCGGAUAAUAUUUUGAACCGCAUGGUUCAAAAGUGAAAGACGGUCUUGCUGGCAUUUAUAGAUGGAACCGCGCUGCAUUAGUUAGUUGGUAAGGUAACGGCUUACCAAGGCAACGAUGCAUAGCCGACCUGAGAGGGUGAUCGGCCACACUGGAACUGAGACACGGUCCAUACUCCUACGGGAGGCAGCAGUAGGGAAUCUUCCGCAAUGGGCGAAAGCCUGACGGAGCAACGCCGCGUGAGUGAUGAAGGUCUUCGGAUCGUAAAACUCUGUUAUUAGGGAAGAACAUAUGUGUAAGUAACUGUGCACAUCUUGACGGUACCUAAUCAGAAAGCCACGGCUAACUACGUG
rnacentral:rRNA from 1 species